AAAACUUUACAAUGCGGGCAACCGUGAUAAGGGAACCUCGAGUGCCUGUAUAUGCAGGCUGUUCAGGUGUCUAAAACACACCUGAGGAAAGGGCCGGGCAAGACCGGUGCCAGCCGCCGCGGUAAUACCGGCGGCUCGAGUGGUGGCCACUUUUAUUGGGCUUAAAGCGUUCGUAGCUGGGUUGUUAAGUCUCUUGGGAAAUCUGGCGGCUUAACCGUCAGGCGUCUAAGGGAUACUGGCAAUCUUGGAACCGGGAGAGGUGAGGGGUACUUCGGGGGUAGGAGUGAAAUCCUGUAAUCCUCGAGGGACCACCUGUGGCGAAGGCGCCUCACCAGAACGGCUUCGACAGUGAGGGACGAAAGCUGGGGGAGCAAACCGGAUUAGAUACCCGGGUAGUCCCAGCCGUAAACGAUGCGCGUUAGGUGUAUCGGUGACCACGAGUCACCGGGGUGCCGAAGGGAAACCGUGAAACGUGCCGCCUGGGAAGUACGGUCGCAAGGCUGAAACUUAAAGGAAUUGGGCGGGGGAGCACCACAACGGGUGGAGCCUGCGGUUUAAUUGGACUCAACGCCGGAAAUCUCACCGGAUAAGACAGCGGAAUGAUUGCCGGGCUGAAGACUCUGCAUGACUAGCUGAGAGGAGGUGCAUGGCCGUCGUCAGUUCGUACUGUGAAGCAUCCUGUUUAGUCAGGCAACGAGCGAGACCCACGCCAACAGUUGCCAGCAUGGCCUCCGGGCUGAUGGGGACACUGUUGGGACCGCCUCUGCUAAAGGGGAGGAAGGAAUGGGCAACGGUAGGUCAGCAUGCCCCGAAUUAUCCGGGCUACACGCGGGCUACAAUGGGCAGGACAAUGGGUAUCGACACCGAAAGGUGAAGGCAAUCUCUUAAACCUGUCCUUAGUUCGGAUUGUGGGCUGUAACUCGCCCACAUGAAGCUGGAAUCCGUAGUAAUCGCGUUUCAAAAUAACGCGGUGAAUGUGUCCCUGCUCC
rnacentral:rRNA from 1 species